UUCACUACCGUGACCCACAAGGAUGAAACUUCCCAGACCAGCCUCACCCUCAGCAGGGGAAAGAGAAGCUACCCAGACCUACACACCUUUGUGCAGGACAUGAAGGACGACCAUUGGAAUCUGCUGAGUGAGAAUAUGCGUGCCGGGAUGAGCAGACAUGAGUUUAGUGCCAAGUGCAUGGAUAUUGUAGCAUGGGUGAUGGAGUCUACAUCCACUGUGGUUGUUCCCGCCCUUGACCUCACCAU